GGGGCCGGCCGGGGUCGGGGAAUGGAGCCCCUGGCCUCCCAGCGCCUGGCGUCCCUUGGGAUCCUCAUGGCUCUGGAGCCACAUCUGGGCGAGCCGGGGCAGCAGUAGACUCAUGGGAAGGAAGGCCCGGCCCAGAGAGAUGCCCUGGGUCGCUACCGGCCCCACGCCCCGGCCUCGGCAGCCUGACCCUCCCCAGGAACCCCGGGACAACUCACACCCUCGGGGCACCGAGAACCCCGAGAUGCGUCCCCAGAUCCCUCACUGCGCCCACCCCCGGGGACCAAGUGCUGGAGCUCACAGCCUCGCCAGGAGGAGACCCUCAGACCCAGGGGACUCGGGGCCACCCCAGGACCUGGCGACACCUGCAGGACGAGCUGGGCAGCCCCGGACGUGCAGACAGGUGAUGCACUGCCCGCCCCCCCCCCUGCGCUCUGUAGCCCUGUGGGCCGUGCACCUGAGCUCAGCCAUGGGGUGGGUGGGGGCGGGACGCGGGGCUGCAGAGUGGGGGGGCCCUGCCCGGAGGCCAGCGUCUGAUUCCCGCUCCCCUUCCGCAUGCGCCCCAGGGCACAUGUUCUAUCUUUACGGAUCAGGGGCCAUUUGCACCACCCUCAGCUGUGGCAGAGGUAGGGAGCCCGCCCGCCCCUGCACCCUCAGGAGGGGCCUGGGGCAGUGGGUGAGGUGCCCGCACACCCCAGCCACCACCCGGCAGGCAGAGCCGGGACCCCAACGGUGUUUCCAUGAUUUACUGUGAGGCGGGCCCGCUUGCUUACCGUUCCCUUAGGUCCACCUAAUGCCGGCUUCCCUGCCCUGCUGCUCGGCGGUUCGGGGAUGGGGGGGCUGCCACACCAGGCCCACCAGCCCGCCCAGCGGGGGGAUGCCUGCCGCCCUGGCAGGAAUUUCCCGUGGUCGCUGACUCGGCCUCGGAGGGCUAACCCUGGCGAGCGGGCGGCCCUUGAAGGAGAUGCUGCGGGACGCGGGACCUGGCCCCGAGGAGAGCUGGGCCCUGGAAGCCGCGGCCCAUGCAUGGGCAGCAGGGGGACUCCAGCCUAAAGUGGGGGCUUCCAGAACCCUCCUGCGUCCUCAGUGGGCAAGCACUAGUCCUGGCUAAGUCCCGGGUGGAGUCUAUGGGCUCCCGUCCCCCCCACGCGCUGCCCCCACCUGGGGACGGCCCCGUGGGACCAGCCAGGGGCACGGAGUUGGGAGGUGGGAUGGAGGCUGGCCAGGGGAGGCCUCAUAGCAGCUGUGGUGGGGAGAGGGGGGUGUCAGACUAGCGCCCCCGGGGUUCCCGGCUGCUGGAUGGACCCUGCGUUCAGUCAGCGCACCAGCCCCUCCGGGACCGUCCCUCAAAAGCCGUACUGUGGCCGCCGUGCAGCAUGUAGGGGCAGCCCUGCUUCCCCAGCCUCAGGAAGGGAGCCCACGGGAACCACAGCCAGGGCUAGGGUGCAGGACGCGCAUUGUCUUGAAAAUGCAGGCGGCCCGGAGCCAAGGCCCCAGAGAGUGACCACUGGGCCACUCGGGCAGAUUGGUGCCCAGGGAGCAGGGCCUGUCGGCAGAGCGCAGCCCAGGCCCACGGAGGGGGGGGACAGAAACUCCCCCAGCCCCGGGGAAGACCCGCCUUAGCUUAGAGGCAGAGUCAGCUGCAGGUGCGCAGAUCCUGCGCCAGGCUGGACCCAGGGAACCGAGGACGUGGGGCAUGGGCCACACGCUGCGUCCAACUAGGGGCGUGAGCAAGGUGCUCCGGACGUGGGGGUCCUGGGGCACCUCAUGAAGUAAUGCGGGGGCUCCCUGGCUCCCAGCGCGGUCCACGGCCUGGGCACCCGCACACCUGGGCUCGUAGGCGGGCGCCACGUCCCCACUGAGUCAGGGGCUGGCGCCGGGAGCUCAGCCCCUCAGGGUCCCUCUUUGGUCCUGGGUGUCCCCGGGCAAGGCCUCCCUGCUGUGCAAGCCUACCAGGACAGGGCCCUGGACACACGUAGGCCCGUGGGCAGCCGAGGGGCGGGGGAGCAUGUCCUCUCCGGGAGCCUCUCCUAGCUCCGGCCCCCUCCCCCGGCCGAGAGCAGCUGUAGGACGUGCUGAUUCCGAUCAGCAGAUGCCCAUGCUUUAAUUUUCCUGGAUUUAUGGCCUCUUCUGUGGUUUCAUUACUGAGAUAAGGAGGGAGCCCGUCACUGUCAGGCGGCGCUGGGGAUGUGCAGCCGAUAAACACCGAUGUGGCUUGGUCCCGCGGGGGGCAGAAGAGCAGGGAAGCCCCCCACCUCACUCAAGGCGCCUAUGAAAGCCCCACAGUGAGCCUCCCGCUCGAUGGGAGAGACUGAAGCUUGGCCCCUAAGAUCAGAAACAAAGCAAGGGGACGCCUGGGGGUUCAGCGGUUGAACAUCUGCCUUGGGCUCAGGUCGUGACCCUGGGGUCCUGGAAUCGAGUCCUGCGUCAGGCUCCUCGCUCAGUGGGGUGUCUGCUUGGGAUUCUCUCUCCACCCCCCCAAAUAAAUAAAGUCUUAAGACAUGUAAAAAUUCAGGAGCACCCGAGGAGCCCAGUCACUUGAGCACCUGCCUCUGGCUCAGGUCGGGGUCCUGGGGUCGAGCCCCGCAUCAGGCUCCUUGCCCCAUGGGGAGUCUGCUUCUCCCUCUCCCUCUGCCCCUCCCCCUGCUUGCUUGUGCACGUGUGCUCUCUCUCUCUCUCUGUCUCUUUCUGUGUCUCUCAAAUAAAUAGAAAAGUCCUUUAAAAAUAUAAGACCACUUCUAAAAAAAAA
rnacentral:lncRNA from 1 species